GCCUGUAUUUGUGAUAUGAGGCCCCUCUGGUUCUCCUGAGGGCCAGUAUACUGGCAUGAGAGACCAGAAUGAAUGAAUCCAGUUUGUAAAACAAAAUCAGAAAUAGCCAUAGGUUGGAGGACAGAAUGUGCCACUCUUUGCACAAGCAAACUCACCUCGGAGGUCCUAUUUCUACUCUGAAAUUACAGCCAAGUUUAAAAUAAUUCCAUAAUGAGCCAUUGACCUGAAUCCACAUCAUCAAAUAACACGAAAGAGAGGGUAACAAGGAUUUAAGGAUAAACUCAGGAAGCACAGAGACCAGACUCCACUAGGAUUUCAAAAAGCCAGAUCUGCUUACAGAACACAUUCUAACCCAAAGUUUCUGAGUCAAAAGUCACUUCUAAGAUAUGCAGACAUGAAGGGAAUCGCUUAAUAAAACUCUCCUACUUCUGAGGCGGGCUGAGGCACAAACAGCAGGAGGCCUUUAGCAAGUCUUGCUUUCUUUUUUCCCUAAAAUAUCCUUUUUCUUAGCUUUACAGUGAACAGGAGGCACUCUGGACCUGACUUGCUUCGUCUGGGUUCUUCCUACCCGGCUGGUGAGAAAGCUCUCUGUCCUCAAACACAGAAAGAAGUCGAUCUCACUCCCAUCAACAUGCAUGUUUCUGACCCAGCUCCAAACGAAACUUCAGACCAGACUGGACUCUUUCAGAGCCAGGCCGAGCCUAGGCUGGGCCCCGCUUGCAGAAAUUGCUAAUGACUUGCUGGUAAGCACCCAAGUCCGAGAAGCCUACGAACACUCGAAGCAGGGCUUUGGAACCGAAAAAGAAAGUUCAUCUCCUCACCAUCUGGCUAGCUUUUAUAAUCCUUAUUGCACUAUGAUUAAUUUUUUAUGCUGUAGAUUUCUGCUAAUUAAUUGUAAUUACCAAGAACAGGAAAUUUCUGCGCGGCCAGAUCAUGUUUACCCAGAAUGGCAAAGUUGGAGAACUGUUCUUUAAGAGACGUUCUUGGGAUUAUUGAAUUUUAAAAGCUGGGUGGAGCCUCUGAGGCUGGGUCUCCCACGUAGCUGGUUAGUAGCACAGCGAAGACAAAAACACCAGCUUCCACAUCCCUGGUCCAGUCAUGUUUGUACCAUGCCCUGCUGCCUUGAGAGCUAGUUCACACCAGAAGCAGCCACUCCUCUCUGUUUGGGUGGAUUCAUCAAAUCCAGGAUGGAAUUUGGUCAAAAUGUCUCAUUGCAUCACCAUGUCACUUUGAAACUCCUAGUUCUUCGGACAUAGAGUUCUUGUCCAUGUGAUAUGAACCAAUAAAUUCUCUGGAAAAAAAUCAGUCCAAACACUUGGCUGGUAUCUUAGAGGGGGAAAAAAAAAAAGUCUGGGUGAUUGAAUUUUUAAAAUUGAGUUAAGCAACUGUUUUUGCAUUCUGUGGAUACUCAUAGGAACUCUAGACAAACUUGUCCAAAGCUGGGAUUGGGAUAUAGAAUUGUACGGAAAUUGUGUGGCAGCUCUGUCACAGUGUCAUGUGACAUAUGAAUGCUCAAUAGUCAUCCUGGGUGACGGGGAAGCUCCAGGUGUUAGUCCAGAGGUUUUUAAAUUGUCAAGCCACAUUUUCUCUUUUGAACAGCAGAAUCGUUUUUUCAAAUGAACUAUUUAUGUGUAAUAUAAUAUUAUUAUAAUAUAUUAUAAUAUAUUAAUAUUAUUAUAAUAUUAAUAAUACAGUGUAAUUUUUUGUAAAAUAGAUUAGGACAAUAUUUUAUGUUUAAAAUGUUUCCCCUUUCUAAAAAUAAUAAAUGAGAAAAAUACAAUUGUCUUAAUGAACUGACGUUUGCAAUGGUGAGGUAUAGGAGUCGGUUUUAGUCUUAGAGCGCGGUCAGCACCUGAUUCGUUUCUGUGUGUGGAUUUACUGGUACCGUAACUUAUUCAUCUGGUGUAUCAAGUGCUCAGCACAGCAUCUGGCUUAAGGGAAAGACGAAUGCAUCAAUGACUCUUAGCUGGGAGCUUCAUAAAGGAUCCAGUCUUUGGCUGCUAUGACCUGCCCUUGUGGGAUUCUGUCUUGCUCCAAGGGGCUUCUUACACACCACCGGCCUGUGUUGGUUCAUUCCUGGAAGGAUGCUAAAAGCCACGGCAAACCUAAGGCAGCAACCCUGUCCUGGGAGCAGGCAUCAUCUGUGCUGGGAAGAUUCCAGCAUUCAGAGCUGUAAGAAUCACCCCGGAGCUUAUUAAAAUGCAGAUUUCCGAGCCUCACCUUUGAGAAGUAUGCAUUUUAGAUCAGCCUUCUGGCUGAUUUUGGGGAUUGGAUUCACUGCCUGCACUUUGAGAAACAUCUCGAGUGUGGUCACCCACAGUUCUUCUGCAUGAAGUCAUUCAUUCAUUCACAAGCACAGGCAUUUCUUCUACAGCAGAGCUUUUAUAACAAGAAUUGCAUAUAAUGGGAUAAGUUAAUUAAGAACAAUGGAUUACAUCUGCUGUUAAUAGUUAUAAAUCACUGUCUUCUAAAACCAUCCAGUAAUCAUACUUCCUUAAGGAAAAAAACGCUGCUCGAGUCCACUCCACACAGCUGCUUGGAGAAGCUCUGUGAUUUCUUGGCGCAUCGGCGGAUGAAAAGAAAAUACGAGAAAUCUGCCCUUACGUGGGAGGAGUGACUGCGUUUACCAGGAAAGUUCGGAAAAGCAACUCUUCUUACACACAUCUGCCUGGACACGGGACACUCUCUGCUCGUGCCUGCUUGUCUGAAGGCUGGUUGGGGCAUUCUUGCUGGAGAACCAAUCCUGGGAGAGGGGCUUCUUGACCAAGUGUCUGGUCCAUGCUGAAGGGGUACAGUGAGGAAAAGUGAGCUGAGCACCACAGUGGAACCACAGCAACCAGACCACUCCCUCAGUGGAUGGAUAGAGCCCACGCCACUCGGGACGUAUCACUGCCAUGUCCUCAGGAGGCCAGGAUGCUUUGACAAUGCCCAUUCUGAUUCCUUUGGUGGAUGUUUUGGAAAGGGCUCGCCUACGCAUCUGCUACAGGAAAGCAAGCUCCUUGAGAUGAUCUAUCGCGUGGAGACACGCAGAUAGAUUGCGUAUCAUCCUCGCUUUGGACAGAAGGGAGUUGAAUUAAAGAUCAUAUAAAUAUAUCAUUAAAAACAAAAAUGGUAUUUGAGCAGCACAUUAUGGUUUACAAAACAAUUCCUCUUGUUACUAUAUCCGAUCUUCACGAAAACGCUUUAUAGAAGAUUGUUAUUGAGUAAAAACAACCCUUUACGUUUCUUAGCUUGAAAAUAUACUUUUUCAUUAUAUGGAUUUGAUUGUAUUGCUCUAUUGCUUUCCUUGGUAUUUCUAAGUCAUUUGUGUUUCACUCCCUUACUCCUAAAAUCUUCAAUAGAUUUCUAGAAUUGAAUAAAAUUUCUCCUUCAACGCCCUCCAUGCUUAGGCUCAAACUGUUCUUCCCACGUUAGCUUCUCUCCUCACCUCCUUGGAGACAUAUUUCUCUAUCUUUGUCCUCUCUCUUCCUCCCUCCUCCAUCCCUGCCUACCUCAUCUGCUGAGCUCUCUGCUUCUAACAAGGCUCCAUCCUAAACUUUAACCAGCUCUUCGCUUAGGUACCACCUCCUUAAUAAACUGGUUCUUGUUUACACUCACAUUUGGAUGCAAUCUCUUCCUUUCCAAGGUUCCCAAUAUAUGUGAUACCCUGUUUCUAAAACUGUCAUAAUGGUGUCGAAGACAUUUAGUGAAGUGUCUUCUUAGAUGGUAACUUCUUGAAAGCUCUGGCUUUUUUCUUUCUAAUUCAAAACCCAGAUCAAGCAUCAUUUUCACUGUGAAUUCUUUUCCAUAGGCAUUUAAUAAUUCCCUUCUCUCCCUACCGUCUACUUUUUACAUACUUUACACAGAUGUGCUUAUCACACUGUGUUGAAACGGUUGGUUUUGAUGUUUAUCUUCCCUGUCAAGCUGUAAGCAACUUGAGGCAGCACAGCAUAGUGGUUAAGCAGCCAGACUCCUGGGUUUAAAUCUCAGCUCUGCUGUUUACUACCAGUGUGACCUUAGGCAAGAUACUUAACCCCUCUGUGCUUCAGUUUUCUUCUCUCUAAAAUGGCGAUAAUAAUAGUACCUACCUCACAGAGUUGCUGCAAGGAUUAAAUGAGUUAGUACACGUAAAACGCUUAUCAGAUGGUAGGCAAUUAUCAUUAUUGUCCUUCAUAUUUUUAUUGACAAGAACAGUGCUUAAACUAAGCAGGCACACAGCAGGUGUUUUUUGAAUAAAUAAAUGAAUAAAGGAGAGAAAAUG